GUGAAUCAUCGAAUCUUUGAACGCAAAUUGCACUCUCUGGUAUUCCGGAGAGUAUGCCUGUUUGAGGGUCAGUUUAAAUAAAAAUCGGUGUUGUUGCUGCCUUUCGUGGUGACGCAUCGGAUUUGGGUCGUCUUGCAUUCGGUUAAGUGACCUAGAAUUUUGCAUGAUUUUUUUCGAAUGUAUUUAAAUGAUUUUACGUACGUUUGCGAUAUAGAUUACUAGGUGUGGUCAUUCUCUUGAUUCGGGCAUAUAAUUUUUCAUCAAAUUGACAUCAAAUCA
rnacentral:misc_RNA from 1 species